UGGCUAAGAUCAAGUGUAGUAUCUGUUCUUAUCAGUUUAAUAUCUGAUACGUGGGUCAUCGACCCACUAUGAUAUUAAAUUAAUUUUUUUUUGGGGGGAGGGUCCACUACAGUGGCUAGCCACUGGGUCCCUCGUGCGUCGUCCAUCCGUUGCACUGCUGCAUGGGCCAGGCGCACCCCGACCAAUUCAUAUGUACAAACGUUUCUACUGCAGCUGCGAUGACCUUUAUGAGCGGACGAUGGAUGACUUGAAUGACACAUGAAGACUCCAUAUCAAUUGUGCUAAAUUUUCUAUAUCAAUAUCCAAUGUAUUAAACAAAAUAUUGUUUAACAAGAUAUCAUACUCGGGAACAUAAAGAUCGUACUGCAUUUUAAUUCACCCAAAUUAAAUCUUGCGGAGUUUCUUCAUCGACAUAAUUUAUAGAAGAGCUGCAAAUGAGAAGCACUUGAAUUCA